rnacentral:tRNA from 1 species
GGCUCGAUAGCUCAGUCGGUAGAGCAACGGACUGAAAAUCCGUGUGUCGCCGGUUCGAUCCCGGCUUGAGCCACCA